AUUGAACGCUGGCGGCAUGCCUUACACAUGCAAGUCGAACGGCAGCACGGGGCAACCUGGUGGCGAGUGGCGAACGGGUGAGUAAUGCAUCGGAACGUACCUUUCAGUGGGGGAUAACGUAGCGAAAGUUACGCUAAUACCGCAUAUUCUGUGAGCAGGAAAGCAGGGGAUCGCAAGACCUUGCGCUGAUUGAGCGGCCGAUGUCAGAUUAGCUAGUUGGUGAGGUAAAGGCUCACCAAGGCGACGAUCUGUAGCGGGUCUGAGAGGAUGAUCCGCCACACUGGAACUGCGACACGGUCCAGACUCCUACGGGAGGCAGCAGUGGGGAAUUUUGGACAAUGGGGGCAACCCUGAUCCAGCCAUGCCGCGUGAGUGAAGAAGGCCUUCGGGUUGUAAAGCUCUUUCGGCCGGGAAGAAAUCGCACGGGCUAAUACCCUGUGUGGAUGACGGUACCGGAAUAAGAAGCACCGGCUAACUACGUGCCAGCAGCCGCGGUAAUAC
rnacentral:rRNA from 1 species